rnacentral:rRNA from 1 species
GGACAUAACAUAAAAGUGGAGGCUAUUGUAACUGAAGAGAACUGGAAAGUUCCACCGUAGAAGGUAAUAGUCCUGUAAGUGAAACGAGAAGACCACGAGUUAUGAUCCAGAGUACCACGAGACACGUGAAACCUUGUGGGAAGCAGGGAGGACCACCUCCCAAGGCUAAAUACUACCUGAUGACCGAUAGUGAAGCAGUACCGUGAGGGAAAGGUGAAAAGAACCCCGGGAGGGGAGUGAAAUAGAACCUGAAACCGUGUGCCUACAACCGCUCAGAGCCCCUUAUGAGGGUGAUGAGGUGCUUUUUGUAGAACGAGCCAACGAGUUACGGUAUGUAGCAAGGUUAAGUACUUAAGGUACGGAGCCGAAGGGAAACCGAGUCUGAAUAGGGCGACUAGUUGCAUGCCGUAGACCCGAAACCGGGUGACCUAUCCAUGGCCAGGUUGAAGCGAGGGUAAAACCUCGUGGAGGACCGAACCACGUUGCUGUUGAAAAAGCAUGGGAUGAGCUGUGGAUAGCGGAGAAAUUCCAAUCGAACCCGGAGAUAGCUGGUUCUCUCCGAAAUAGCUUUAGGGCUAGCGUCGAGUAUGAGUAGUGGAGGUAGAGCACUGAAUGGGCUAGGGGGCAUAGCGCUUACCGAACCUUAUCAAACUCCGAAUGCCACAUACUUUGAGCUCGGCAGUCAGACUACGAAUGAUAAGAUCCGUGGUCAAAAGGGAAACAGCCCAGAUCGUCAGCUAAGGUCCCAAAGUGUAAGUUAAGUGGGAAAGGAUGUGAGAUUUCUAAGACAACUAGGAUGUUGGCUUAGAAGCAGCCAUUCAUUAAAAGAGUGCGUAAUAGCUCACUAGUCGAGAGAUCUUGCGCCGAAAAUGUAACGGGGCUAAACUUACC